rnacentral:rRNA from 1 species
UAAUUUAAGCAUAUUAUUAAGCGGUGGAAAAGAAACUAACUAGGAUUCCCUUAGUAGCGGCGAGCGAACAGGGAUGAGCCCAGCACUGAAUCCCGUGGCCUAUAUGGACACUGGGAAAUGUAGUGUUUAGGAGGAUUCAUAUAUCCUGAAAUUAUGUAGCGCGUCUAAGUCCAUCUUGAAUGGGGCCAAUUACCCAUAGAGGGUGCCAGGCCCGUAGGACUGUUACUAAUUUCGGGAGAAUCUCUCCUUAGAGUCGGGUUGCUUGAGAGUGCAGCUCUAAGUGGGUGGUAAACUCCAUCUAAGGCUAAAUAUGACCACGAGACCGAUAGCGAACAAGUACCGUGAGGGAAAGUUGAAAAGAACUUUGAAGAGAGAGUUCAANAGUACGUGAAACCGUUCAGGGGUAAACCUGAGAAACCCGAAAGUUCGAAUGAGAAGAUUCAGUAUCUUACAUUUGGUCGACCAUUUCUAUUUUAUGUGAUAAUUUUUAAUGACUUGUCAUUAAUAUUACACUAAUUUGUUAUGAGAUUUGGCUAUGGAGAUAUGCACUUCUUCUCUAGUAGGACGUUGCAACCCAUUGGAUGUUAAUCUAAGGUCCUUAUGGUAGCCUAUUUUAUAUAUAUUUCGGUAUAUGUGAAUUAGACCUUAGGUAACCUGAUUAACUUGUUCGAUGGUAUUUCAUAAUAUUGGGCCGCCUAUAUGGCAUUCAAACUAUUUUCAAGUUUGUACGGAUUUUUGGAUAUCAGACCUAGUGCUGUUACUGAAACCGUUACUAUUGCUGGAAUUUAGUAUAUUGAAUAGACUCUUUAUAUAGAUUAGCAACGCUUUUGCUUUGGGUACUUUCAGGACCCGUCUUGAAACACGGACCAAGGAGUCUAGCAUGUGCGCAAGUCAUUGGGACUUAAUAAACCUAAAGGCGUAAUGAAAGUAAAGAUUCACUUUAAGUGGAUUUAGGGAAGAUGUAUAAUCAUAAUGAUUGUAUCGCAUUCCCGGGGCGUCUCAUAUUCAUUAUGAAUAGAGGCGCACCUAGAGCGUACACGCUGGGACCCGAAAGAUGGUGAACUAUGCCUGGUCAGGUUGAAGUCAGGGGAAACCCUGAUGGAGGACCGUAGCGAUUCUGACGUGCAAAUCGAUCGUCGGAACUGGGUAUAGGGGCGAAAGACUAAUCGAACCAUCUAGUAGCUGGUUCCCUCCGAAGUUUCCCUCAGGAUAGCUGGCAUUUAAAAUUUAGACUUGAUAACGAGUCUCAUCCGGUAAAGCGAAUGAUUAGAGGCCUUGGGGCCGAAACGACCUCAACCUAUUCUCAAACUUUAAAUGGGUGAGAUCUCUGGCUUGCUUAAAUAGUGAAGCCAGAGAUUUGGAUCAGAGUGCCAAGUGGGCCACUUUUGGUAAGCAGAACUG